rnacentral:rRNA from 1 species
CCUACGGGGGGCAGCAGUGAGGAAUAUUGGUCAAUGGGCGCGAGCCUGAACCAGCCAAGUCGCGUGAGGGAAGACGGUCCUAUGGAUUGUAAACCUCUUUUGUCGGGGAGCAACAGACGCCACGCGUGGCGUUCCGAGAGUACCCGAAGAAAACGCAUCGGCUAACUCCGUGCCAGCAGCCGCGGUAAUACGGGGGAUGCGAGCGUUAUCCGGAUUGAUUGGGUUUAAGGGGUGCGCAGGCGGAAGAUCAAGUCAGCGGGAAAAUUGAGAGGCUCAACCUCUUCGAGCCGUUGAAACUGGUUGUCUUGAGUGAGCGAGAAGUAUGCGGAAUGCGUGGUGUAGCGGUGAAAUGCAUAGAUAUAACGCAGAACUCCGAUUGCGAAGGCAGCAUACCGGCGCUCAACUGACGCUCAUGCACGAAAGUGUGGGUAUCGAACAGGAUUAGAUACCCCAGUAGUC